UGAGGAAUAUUGGGCAAUGCCCGCAAGGGUGACCCAGCAACGCCGCGUGGAGGAUGAAUGUCGUAAGAUUGUAAACUCCUGUUAGAGGGGAAGAAUAGUACCGGUUGGACCGGUAUAUGACUGUACCCUCAGAGAAAGCCCCGGCUAACUACGUGCCAGCAGCCGCGGUAAUACGUAGGGGGCAAGCGUUGUCCGGAUUUACUGGGUGUAAAGGGCGCGCAGGCGGGAUAAAAAGUCAGUGGUGAAAUCCUACAGCUUAACUGUAGAACUGCCUUUGAUACUUUUAUUCUUGAGCUCGGGAGAGAGAGACGGAAUUCCAGGUGUAGUGGUGAAAUACGUAGAUAUCUGGAAGAACACCAGUUGCGAAGGCGGUCCCUUGGUCCGACACUGACGCUGAGGCGCGAAAGCGUGGGGAGCAAACA
rnacentral:rRNA from 1 species